CGGCCGCCACCCCGGCCCCGACAGCCCCGCCUCCACCCACCGGGAUCCGCUCGUGCCCAAGGACUGGACAGGGGAGGCGCUCCCGGCCUCGGACGAAGAGAAAGGUUUUGUAGAGAGCACAUUGUCGAACCAGCAG